rnacentral:lncRNA from 1 species
GGUUGUUAGCUAUGUGGCCAGCGGGCACUGUCCAAGUGGCAAAUGGAGAGGUGGGACCGAAGAGGAGCAGAAGCUGAGAGGCAGAAAACAAUCAGCAGUUUAUCUGGGCUCACAUCCUUUCAAGAAGUGGGACAGGAGUCUGGACCCAGGUCUGUGCUGGAGACUUGAGAAAGACUUCAAGCAGAAGGGACUCUGAGCUGAAGACAAGAGGAUUAGGGUCCUGGGGCCGGAGAAAGACAGGACAUGAGGACCGGUGGGAUCUGGAACACAGGACACGCAGAGCCUCUGUAGCCAGGAGGGAGCGGGGUGUGAGGGUGGAUCGGACACCACUGCUGUCACCAUGCCAAACCCCAGUGGUGGUGAGAACAGCUGCAACAGCGUGCCAGAGGUGAGAACCGUGUGAGCCCGAUCCUCCCCGAGCAGCUCCUGCAGAGGGUCCCUGCCCUCCUGCACAGAGGGCAGAGGCACCACGGUGAGUCCAGUCUGGGAGAGGGACCUGGGGUUCCCCCCCGCCUCACCCCGGCUCGAGUAUGGCCCAGGAGAAACCCAGAAGUUCCUAAGAACCCCCAGGAAUGCACAGGUGGUUGUGUGUCAGGUUUGGGGUGCUGGAGUCUCCUUCUAGAGGUGGUGUCUAGGUUCUUUCUGUCUUGAGCCCAAAGACUUGGUCAAGACAAGCGCAAACAGUAACACGGUUUUAUAUUUAUUAAAGGGAGGAAGAGAAACAGGCUCUGCAGAGCGAAUUUAGGCCAAGAAAAAGUAGGAAAGAAGGUGUCCUCUACAGCGUGAGGGGGAUUACUGUGAGAGGGACAGCACCAAAGAGCCCUCAAGGUCCACGGCCCUUUUCCAUCUGCCGCCUCAGCUGAGUCAGGUCCAGCUGCCCUAUGGAAAAC